CGUAGGUGGCAAGCGUUGUCCGGGAUUUAUUGGGCGUAAGGCGAGCGCAGGCGGUGAUUUUAAGUCUGAUGUGAAAGCCCCCAGCUCAACUGGGGAGGGUCAUUGGAAACUGGAUCACUUGAGUGCAGAAGAGGAGAGUGGAAUUCCAUGUGUAGCGGUGAAAUGCGUAGAUAUAUGGAGGAACACCAGUGGCGAAAGGCGGCUCUCUGGUCUGUAAACUGACGCUGAGACUCGAAAGCGUGGGUAGCAAACAGGAUU
rnacentral:rRNA from 1 species